CAUCAACGUCUAAAGUCAAACAAAAUAUCUCACUCACUCACAGAGUCACAGAGAGAGAGAGAGAGACAGUGAAGCGGGAAAUAUCAACGACUAAUUAACAACCUUGUGGCAGAUCAGUUCCCAAAAAUGGCUUUCUCAACUCGGCCACUGAUCAACCACACACUAUACUCACCACCACUUCAUCAACCCAAGAAGCAGAAACCUGUAAUCCCACUUCUCUCUAAUGCCCACUCUACCCCUCCUCCCCUUCGUUCUUCUGCUUGUUUCAGGGCCAAGUUUGGCACUUUCACAAACCCAUCAUCAAAACUCGGAUUCAGUGUCAAGGUUGGGGCUCAGAAUGACUAUUCUUCAGGGGAUGAGGCUCAGUCUCUUAUUCCUGAGGCAACUCUACAAGAGGAUUAUUCUUGGGUUUCUGUGAUUAUUCCUUUUGUGUUUCCGGCAUUGGGUGGUCUGUUAUUUGGGUACGACAUUGGUGCCACUUCUGGUGCUACCAUCUCAUUAACGUCCGCUGAGCUUAGUGGCACAACUUGGUUUAAUCUGACAGCUGUUCAGCUUGGUCUUGUGGUUAGUGGUUCCCUCUAUGGAGCUCUUUUUGGUUCUCUCCUUGUCUACCCAAUUGCUGAUUUCCUUGGAAGGAGGAGAGAACUCAUCACAGCAGCUGCACUUUAUCUCCUUGGGGGACUGAUCACCGGAUGUGCUCCGGGACUUGGUGUUCUCUUAGUAGGGCGUCUUUUAUAUGGCAUUGGUAUUGGAAUGGCCAUGCAUGGGGCUCCACUCUAUAUUGCUGAAACAUGUCCAUCUCAAAUUCGUGGAACUCUAGUGUCAUUGAACGAGCUCUUCAUAGUUUUGGGGAUCCUGUUGGGUUAUUUAGUAGGAAGCUUUCAGAUUGAUGCAGUUGGGGGGUGGCGUUACAUGUAUGGAAUAAGUGCUCCCAUGGCUUUAUUUAUGGGAAUAGGCAUGUGGAUUCUCCCACCCUCUCCUCGCUGGUUGCUUCUCAGGGCAGCUCAAGGUAAAGGGUCUGUGAAAGAAUACAAAGAAAGAGCCGUUCUUGCCUUGAGCAAGCUGAGAGGCCGGCCUCCUGGUGACAAAGUGUCUGAAAAGAAAAUAGAAGAGACAUUUGUUCCUUUGAAGUCAGCCUAUGCAGAUCAGGAAUCAGAGGGGAGUUUGAAGGAGGUCUUUCAAGGCCCUAGUUUGAAGGCCUUCAUAAUUGCUGGGGGUUUGGUCCUUUUUCAACAAAUAACAGGGCAACCAAGUGUCCUAUAUUAUGCAGGUCCAAUUCUUCAGAGCGCAGGAUUCUCCGGUGCCGCUGAUGCUGCCAAAGUAUCGGUUAUAAUUGGGUUGUUCAAGUUCGUGAUGACAGGGAUAGCUGUCCUGAAAGUUGAUGAUCUAGGAAGAAGACCUUUGCUGAUAGGAGGAGUCAGUGGACUUGCUCUUUCCUUGUUUCUCCUCUCUGCUUACUACAAAUUUCUUGGAGGGUUCCCACUUGUUGCUGUAGCUUCUCUUCUUCUCUAUGUUGGUUGCUACCAGAUAUCUUUUGGUCCUAUAAGUUGGCUUAUGAUGUCGGAAAUAUUCCCGCUUCAGACAAGAGGAAAAGGGAUUAGUCUUGCAGUUCUUACUAACUUCGGUUCAAAUGCUCUUGUGACAUUUGCAUUCUCACCAUUGAAGGAGGCACUUGGAGCAGACAACCUUUUCCUCCUUUUUGGGGCUAUCGCCUUGAUAUCUCUUCUGUUCGUUGUACUAAUUGUCCCAGAAACCAAAGGUUUGAGUUUGGAAGAAAUAGAAUCCAAAAUCUUGAAAUAGCUGCUAACCCAUGUCCAGAGCCUAUCAUUGUGACACGGUGGCCUCCUGCCCCUAAGUCCCCAUUGCGUGCUUGGUUGCCUUCUGCUUCCAACACUUGGUUGCCACGCACCAAGAGCAGGUGGAAGUGCACACUGAAGGAUGGCAUUAUGCACAUAAACAACAAGGAUGUCCUUUUUAAUAAGGCGACCGGAGAAUUCGACUUCUGAUUAGUUGGAGAAAUGUCUAUUCUGGCAAUCAGCGGCUGUUGCAUUAGCAGAGCAAGUCCACAGUUACCAUUGGCCCAUUGGUGUUUUGUAAUUUUUCUUUAUGAACUUAAUUAUGAAAGCUAUGAGGGGAAGAGAAACAUUCUAGAUAUCUUUUUAAGAUUGGGACCGAUGAUGUUGGCCUUUGUACAUAAAGGAUGAAUUUUUUUUCGGCCUUUACAAUGGGAGGGCUACUGAGGCGCGUUUCUGAAGUUUAAAUAUUCUGCAAUGGAAUGUGAUUCCAUUGACUUUGUAUACUUGGAUUUAUUGGUUUAAUUUAAGAAUUGCAUUGUUUAGUAACUAGGCAUUCUAGAUAAUGAUAGUUUGUAUCGGUGAUGUAGCUGUGGUUUAUGGAGUUUCCAAACCUACUGAAACCAUAUAUUCUGAAAUGUCGUGGUUAGUUUAAUAAAUUUCUAUAUAUAUUUACUGA